CACCUUAACUCCUGUCCCCCUUCAAUCUAUUCUCCAUACUACAGUUGAAGGGAUCAUUUUAAAACUUAAAUAACAUCAAUCUCCUGCUUAAAUUCUUCAGUGGCUUCCCUUUUCAUUAAGAAAAAAACCCAGACUCUUUACUCUGAGCCACCAGGCUCGGCCUGAUCUGAUCCAGGCUGUGUUUCCAGCCUCAGCUUGGGCACUCACCUCUUCGCCCUCUCUGCUCUAGCCACGUUAAUCUUUGUUGUUGUUGUUCAGUCGCUCGGUUGUGUUGACUCUUUACGACCCCGUGAACUGCAUCACGUCAGGCUUCCCUGUUCUCCACUGUCUUCCAGAGUUUACUCAAGUUCAGGUCCAUUGAGUCAUGAUGCUACCUUAUUUCACUAGUUUUAUUUCAGUUUAACUAAUCUGUAAAGAUCUUUCUUGCCUCAAGUUUUUGCAUAUGCCAGCCCUUCUUUUUUGGGACAGUAGAAAUAACUGGCAUUUGUUUUGCACUCGCUACAUACUAGAGACUGUUCUAGGCACCUUCUAUAUGCAUGCAUUUAAUCCUCACAACAGCAGUAUGGAAUAGGUACUAUCGUGUUCCAUAUUUUACAGAUGAGGAAACAAAGAUACAGAGAGGUUAAAUAAAUUGCCCAAAUCCCCACAGUUUGUAAUUAAUGACACCAGGAUGAGCUUUUCCACUGUGUGUAAUGGCAGCCCCUUCUCAUCCUCUAGGUCUUGGCACAUCGACCCUAUCCUUGGGGCAGCUGUCUCUGGCUACCGUAUGUAAGAGACCAAACAAACAAACAAAAAAGAGGUUCAAUAGCAGCAGAGGAGAGGAGGUCUGCAAUCUUAAACUUGGUAAGCAGUACCUGACUAAACCCUGAAAUAAUAAAUAUUUCAUGCAAUGCUUUCCA
rnacentral:lncRNA from 1 species